UGCCAGCAAUCGCGGUUAUACAAUUGAAGAUUUUGAAUUUUUUUGGAUUAUAUUAAAUAUACUUAUAUUUGUUUAUUUUUAUUAUUUUUUGGUGAAAUAUUAAUAAUAAUUAUGUCAUAUUAUAUUAUAUAUGAAAUUCCUUAUUAGACUAGGAUUAGAUACCCUAUUAUUUGGAGUGUAAAUUUAUAUCCUAAAGAUUAUUAGUUAUGAUCUUGAAAUUUAAAGGAUUUGGCGGUAAUUUAUCUUUUCAGAGGGGCCUGUCCCUUAAUUGAUAAUCCACAAUAAAUUUUACCUUUAUUAAUUAGGCUUAUAUACCUCUAUCAUUGAAUGUUUUUAUAAAAUUAUUUUCUAGGGGAAUUUUAAUUCUAAAUGUUAGGUCAAGGUUUAGCAAUAUAAAGGUGGAGAUGGGUCACAUUAUUAGCAUAUUUGGAUAUAAUAUGGAAAUAUAUUUGAAACUGGAUUUGAUAGUAAAAUUUAUUAUAAAGUAAAUUUGAUUUUAGCUCUAAGUUAUGCACACAUCGCCCGUCGCUCUCAAUAUAUGUUGAGAUAAGUCGUAACAAAGUAAAUUUAUUGGAAAAUGAAUUUAGAAUUU
rnacentral:rRNA from 1 species